UACCUGUUUUAAACUGUUUCUAUCAAUCAUUUAAAUGCUUUGUUUUAUAUUUUUGUAAAUUGUUGCAAGGGUUGUUGUUAUUUUACAAUCAAGCAGUAUAUAAAUUUGAUUAAAUAAAUAAAUGUGUCGCAGAAGCUUUGAGAGACAGUGCCUUUUAUACUUUUAUUCAAGAAAGCAGGGCACCAUGGAUUUGAUGAAGUAAGUGAUUAGGUCAGUGUAAGGUAAAGGUAAAGGUAAAGGAUCCCUGGGCAGUUAAGUCCAGUCAAAGGCAACUAUGGGGUGCAGUGCUCUCAGUGGAGAAGAACACCAUGUUACAGUACGACAUAAGUUCCAUGACCAGGGCCUUUUUCAGAUGGAACUCCCUGGAACUCAGUACCAGCACCUCUCAGGUGGGUACCAUUGCCAUUUUAAGAGAACAAAGAAGGUAUUCAUGGUGAGUUCCAGCAACUCUUUUUCUAGAAAAAUAGCCCUGUUCACAGCCAUCUUCAGAAAGAUUACUUUAUGCUAGCUGGUGAAUCUUCAUGCAUUUAGCUUGUCUUGUGGUGUAUCUAGAGCAUUGGUUAUGGUCUUGUGCUGGUCCCGGGGGGAGGUUACCAUGAGGCGUGGUCAGAGUCCGGUCCUGGGUCGAGGGUCUGGAGACUGUCCACCAAGGGCGAAGCGGAGUCCAAAGCAAGAAGCCAGGCGAGGUCAGGAACUCUGGAAGAACAGGUCUGGGUGCUGGCAGAAACAGGUUUCCAACGACGUUGCUCCGACCUUGAGGUCAUAAUAGCCCAUGGAAGAUGUUGAUCCAAUGUGAUGCAGUGGUGAAGAAGAGAAAUUCCAUGUUGGGAUCAUUAGAAAACGAAUUGAAAAUGAAACUUCUGAAAGCAUAAUGUGAUAAUGCCAUUAUAUACAUCUAUGCUGUGAUAGAAUCUAUGGUAGCAUGAGACUGAUGUUUAAAAAUAAAAUAAAAAUGGCCUCAUUAUAGUACUUUUAUUUACAAAGACCUAAGAGGGGACACUCUUAAAUGCAAGACUUAUACUAAGUAUGAAUCUGACAUAAUACUAUGCAUUUACAGCAAUAAAAUGUUACAAUGAAGAUAUAACAGACAGUGUUUCAAACUAAUCAUUCCAUUUGCAGACGUGUGCAGGUCAUGAAUAGGCUCAAAAUAUUAUCUAUCCACAUAUUCAACUCUUUUGUUCAGCACUGUGUGUUGGGUUGUAAUUCAUUGUGCCUGUAGCUUAUUUUAGUACUUGUACACAGAAUAACUCAUUAGCACUGAAGUAAAUGUUACCAUUAGCACACUUUAUUCAAAAAUAACAAACUACCAUAGAGAAGCUGAAUGGCAGGCACGCAAAUAACCACUAAUUUUUUUCAUGUUAAAUGUAUUGUCAACUUGAAUACCUUCAUUUGUUGCUGUGGUGUCCUCCUAGUAGAAUUCAUCACGCAAUGUGCCUUCAUCAUCACCAGUGCUGCCCCCCACCUCCACCCCAGUAUCAUUGUCAUUACUGGAAGCAUGUCUGGUAAAGUUCCAUGCCACCGCUUCUUCUUCUUCUUCUUCCUCCUCCACCACCUCCUCCUCCUCCUCCUCCUCUGGUAUUAGCUGAAGUUUGUCUGGAAUCCAUGUGUACAUCAAGUAUGAAUUAGUAUUCUGGUAGGCCAUGUCAUACCUGAAUUGCUCUUAUGCUCUCCAUUGCAGCCUGCAGCUAUCUAAAGUGCACACAGAUUAUUCUUGCUAGCUUUGUUCUUGCUAGCUAACCAGUACUUUUCUCACUCUUACAGAGGCAAAGCAGAAUGAACACCCAGAAGUGGGCAGUGUUCAAUGCAUUGCACAUGAUUCGUGCUGCUUAGUCUCACAGGUUUAAAGAAAUUGCAACCAUUAUCGGUAGUGAUACAGCCCUCCACUAAAAUCAAUGAAGUCACCCAGUCAUCUAUCACUUCCUGCAACUGUCUGGAUAUAUUGUCACCAUUGUGUGUUCCAGAAAACAAUCUGUCACUGUUGCAAUUUUGUUUUUGGUUUUUUGUUAAUAAUGACAGGAAUCAAUGAAGUUGCACUCCAAUGCAGAGGUAUGAUUUCAUCUGGUUACCAAUCCAAAAGUCACUUGUGAAGUAGACUGCUUUCUCAUCUGAUUUCCUUAAUGCAUUUUCUAUUCCUCUUUUGUUCUGUGCUCUGUGACAGGCCCAACAAUAUACUGACUGCUUAGUAGUUAUACGAAAUUGGAGCCAAAGUGUGCUUACAAACUUCUUAAAAUCUUUGAUUUCCAAAAUGUUGAAGGGCAACAUUGAACUAGCAAUGCAUUCUGUUCAGUUUUGCGGCUUCCAGGCUGUGUGGCUUAUCUAUUUUUUUCUGCUUCAAAUAUAUAUGAUUGCUGAUCUGCUGAUUUGUGUUCUUAUUCACUGAUAACAUCUCUGACUGUUUCAAUCUUAUCCACACUAGAACAUGAUCAGGGAGUCAGCCCUGCUGUAGUUGAUUUGGUGAAGGGGCAAUCAUUGGCAAUUUAGCAUGCAGCUUAACCAGAAUCCAGUUGCAUUUAUCUUCACUGGACCUAGACUUCUUGUCAUUAGUUAUACUGGAAUUUCCCAUGAGCCAGGUCUCUGAAUUAGGAAGCACCUCUGGCAGGUUGUCACUGGUGGUUUCAUCUUUCCACAUUCCAUUAACUGUUCCUCUGUGGUCAAAGUAUCCAGUGUCUUCACUAUUCCUCCUCUGGGCCUUUUCGUUUGGCUGGUUUUAUGACAUCCUGUUAGCUUCUUCGGUGCCUGUUGGUUUUUUCACUGGUAGCACAACUUUUAAUCUCUUCUUUAGCCUUAUUAAAUAAAAGAUCAUGCUCACCCAGCCACACCACAUUUUGUUACAAUAUUUUCUCAUGGUGAUAGAGAACGCUUGCAGAGAACAUGACCACACAGUUGUGUGGCAAGGUCCUGACCCCCCCCCCCACGAGGUUGAAUAAAGACACUUGACACCAGUAUUUUAGGUUAAUGGGCUUAAAAAGGCCACAACUUUUUUGGUUGCAGAUUGUGAGUGGUAUUGGCUUAGGCUAACCAACUAUAUCUGACUCCCGCCCGUCUGCACAGAGUCUGUGCCGGGUUAACCACCAGUAGGGAGAGUCCUGCUGAUGCACAUCAACUAGGAGCUCCCCCGGGGCCACCGAUAGGGGUCAUGCCUUAGGCCCUAGCCUGCCCAGGCUUCGGACAGGGCCACACCCCCAGAAUCCUUUAAUGGAAUGCCCUUCAAUGUGCGGGGGAGGUGAUGGCGCUACCUCCCCAUCUCUCUUCUCCAGCAAUAUUCCAAUGCCUAACUGCCAAACCUUACAAAGUUGUGACAAUUUGCUAUGAGGUAGGCGAAAACCAAGUGGUGGAGCCAAUUUGCCAAGUGGAAAAAGUCCUACCAGGCCCCUCAAUGGCGACCAACCAGAGUCCAUAGCAAGGUCAAGAGAUGAAAUAACCUAAAGGGUGGGAGGGUAGGAAAACCAGAGCAGCUGGAAGUGUGAAAAGGGGUGAGGUUCCCGCUGGGUCCUGCUUAAGUCAAGCAAGCCGCACCCCCAGGGCAAUUGGCUUGGUUGCCUGGGCAGUGACACAGGCAGGAAUACCCCCAAUCACGCAGGGCUGACCACACGCCUGUGCACUUGAAGGGUUCGUGAGUGCCCACAACUCCAUCUCCUCCUAAGGCAGAAGUGGCUUUGAAGAACCGCCCAGCAAAACAAGGUGAGGCAGUGCAUACACACAUGAACUGAGUGCAAGUUGAAGUUAGAUCUAUUUGCUUUAUCUGUUUAACUGUGGAAUGGGAAAAAUUGGAUUAAAUGAGAGAAAGCGAUCAGGCAACACAGCUUCAUUUGUUGUUAAUAUUUAUGCUUUGGUGCAACAAUGAAGAUGUGGGAUGGGACAUGGAGCUUUGCAAAAAAUGUAUAAUGCUCUUAUCCAUUUUUCUGUAUACAGCCAUGCAAAAAUGUUUGUAACACGCUAAAGACAUUAUUGAUGAUCUGUCAGAUGUCUGUGCACUGAGAUCUUUUGGUUCUAAUAAUUAAUAUUAACUUAAUAUUAAGUUUAAAAUCAUGUAAGCUCAACAAAGGGCCACAAAGGGCCAAUGUGAGCAUCCCUCACACACAAGAACAGUCACCAUGUAAACUGGUCAAGGGGUGCACAUGAAAAACAUAUUGAAAGCCAAUCAUGUACUAUUGAUUAAAGGAAACAUGUCCAAAUAAAAUAUUAUGGGUAGAAUUCAAUGUAGUGCUAAGGAGAUCACUCCAUCAUUCUGCUUGCCUGAUGUGAAAAGGCCUGUGUGAAAAGGUUGUGUUAGUGGGAGUCCUGGUGCGAGCUUCCACUAGCAGGACUCAUUAUUUGAAUCUGGCCAUAUGUACUGUGAAAAAGAAUUCCUGGAUAUUUACAAUAAUAUGUUUCCCAGUGGGAAAGAAAAGGUGUACUUUUCAUACUGCAGUCAGAUGCUUCAGGGAAGACAAGGGUGAAAUAAAGGCAAGAAAAAGGAGUUUAGGUUGCAGAACAAAGAAUCAAAAGGGGUGAGAAACAGACACAAUGACUGUAGCAGCAGGAGGACUAGGCAGAGCCAACAGCCAUGAGUUGUGCAGUGGUGCUGUUGCACAUCUGGCUUCCCAAUACAGAGCAUGACUGUUGAUUACUGAGAGGGACACUGGAAGGGGCAAGACACAGGGAGCUCAGCCCAGGUGCAAUGGCACAUACAACCAGAUGCUCCUGCCACUGUGCUUGCAUCAUGCUGAGCUCCCCAUGCCUUGCCCCUCCACCCCUCAGUAACCAGCAGUGACACUCAACAUUGGGAAACCAAGUGUGCAGUGCCAACGUGCCUGCACCACCCUAACCAUUGCUGGGCAGAGCUAACUCUGGAAAGCAAUAUUUACAAUAUUUUUUGAUAGGACAGAGUCUACAACAUAGGGAAGGAUCACACAGUGGAAACAGCCAGUGAGAGAAUGGAUGGGAACGUGAAUGAUGCAUAACAUCUUGCUGUACAUUAUGAUGCUACAACUUGUUCCCAGCAUUAAACUUGUAAAUGUGCAUAUGCAGGAAUUGAUUCUUGCAUGAAACUAAAUCAUUUAUAUGUCAUUCUGCAUGUUAUGAACAACAUAUAGUAAUUUCUUCAUGCACAUUAUUUUGUCAUCACAAAGAACCCACAAAGGACCUCGUCCAAACAUUAAUUUAAUCGGACAUGCUCUAAAAAUGUACAUACAACUUCAUUUUGGCACAUUAUGUGCAAUGUAUAGCAAGUUAUAAUUCACCAACCAGGAAAUUUAUCAGUCAGUUCACAAAAAAAUGAUUUCCCACUUCCAAGACACAGCAAAGUAUAGAGAAUUUCAGUUGACUGAUGGGACAGCACAGGACUGAUCUGCCCAUCAUUACUUUUUUAUAUCACAAAACUCAAUUUACUUCAUCCAGAUCUAUACAUAAAGCAUACCAGAGAGGCAGCAGAGACAUCCUGUCAAAUUCAACUCCUCAAAUAAAACGUACUAGACGAUGAACCAUUAAUGGCUGCAUUAGCUUCUGGUGAGAUAAAAUUCAUUCCAAUCAAUCUCCUAAUGAGACCAGUCUCAAAAACAUUUACAGUAUAAUCAAUAUAUUUCCAAUUGAAUCUAUCAAUAGCCUUUUUUUUUUUAACUUAACAGAAAAGACCAAGAUCUGGAAACGGAAUAGCUUUGAAUUUGACUAUAAAAUGGUUUCAGUAACUCACCUAAUAUUAAUCAGUCAUUCCCUUGACCAAAAUAAAUCCGUCUGAUUGACAUAAUUAUAAUUAGCUAUGAAAGAGUUUAGAUGAUUAGGAAAAAUAAUUAACUUCGAAAUGCUGUUUCAAUAAUAAAAGAAUCCAAUAGGAUGAUUCUCAUCUGAUAGGAUAGUGCUUACCAGGCUAUUCAAUGUUCAGGAGUGAAUUAAAGCACCUUAAUGCUAUUUGACAAAAGAUAUAGAAACACAUGAUUUGCGAAUAUUUAGCAAAGUUGGCUUUAGGAGUUUGCAUAACCAGGUGUCUGCCAAGGCCUUUGCUGAUGCCACCGGGCCCAUUGCUCCUUCUCAGGCCACUGCAGUGGGAGUCUUGUUAGAAUAAAGUUAUAUACUCAAACAAAAAAGUAGCCAGCUUAACCAUCUGAGUUCCUGGCCUGCCUCCCCUCCCCCCCCCCCCGCUGCCACUGCACAGGCCUGCUCCUUCCCCUUGCUGUCACUUAUAGCUCUGAGUGAGCAAUCAAGGAGAUUAGAACAGGAUCAAGGAGAAGCAGCAGCCCCCCCCCCCACUUUCCUGGCUCCUUCCCUAUACACACUGGUGUGGAAUGGGACCAGAGGACCUGGGCAGGUACUGAUGAGAGAACCCACUGAGGCAGACACAUCUCAGCAGGUGGGGUUGAGCCACCACACUAGGUUCUCAGCAGAUGGGUUGCUGCUGCUUACCAGGAGGGAGAGGGGUAGAGGCAAAGUGGCGAGGUGGUUGGCUCAGGCACACCAGCAGGAAUGCCAGAUUGGCUCCACCGGUGCAUUUGCACUGUGCCAAUCUUCCCUACUACCUCCCACACUCACUUCCAGUAAGCAUCAGUGACCCACCUGAUGGGAAACUGGCACAGCAACUCUGCCCCACCCAAUGAGCCACUUCUGCACUGAGGACAUCUUGCCCAAAGACCCCUGAAUCAGGUGCUGGAUCUGUCUGGUAAAUAGAAUUGUUGAUGAUAAAUCUUAAACUCUGAAGCAAUUUUCAGUUACAUGGUAGCUAAUGGUUUCCUAUUUUUUUCUUUUUUAAAAAAUUGAGAUAUACAAUGUUCAAAUUUUAACUUUACUAGCAAAUUAAAAACAUUUAAAAAUAUUUCAUUGAAAUUCUCAAAAAGGGGUGUGUGUGUGCCUUUCUGUGCCCUAAAAUGCUUCAUGCUUCCACUUUAGUUUAUAUUUUUCUUCCAGUUUCUUGGUUUCUUUUAGGCAAUUGCUUCUAUUUCUUUAACAAAAUUCCUAUUUGGUUAAGGUCUUUUCUGCCUCCCUCCCAAACUUUGGACCUUGUGUAUUGUUAUUAUGAAAAUCUUAACCUCUUUGAUAAUUCUCCUUCUGAAAGAUGGUCAUUUAAAAUGAUAUUGUUCAAUCACCAUGGGAUCUUCUCAACCUAUUAUUUUCAUGCUGGCACCAAUGACAACAGAAAACACAAAAGAAGACCUUGGUUAUUUUUCAGGUUUCUCAUUUUCCAGAUCUACCCUUUCCGGUGUCUUAAACAUCCAUAAAAAAGUUUAUUCUUGAAAAAGAAGAAUGAUCCUGAUGAGUAAAAAGUAUAACCAUUGAGUUAUGGAUAUAGCUGCGCGUAUCUUUUCUGUUAUACUCAGUUAUCUAACUUGAUUUCAAAAAGAAUUAGGUAAUAAAAGUGCUAAAUAGACCCAGUUCCAUAAAAUUUACUUUGUUCUUCAUUCUAAACAGCACUGGAGCCCUCCACUAAUAUGAUUGUUUCAUCAAAGAAUUUCUCAAGCUCCUUAAAUAAUAUUUUAUAAAAAGCGUGCAGACCAAAAUCUGAGGCAUCAGUGGAUCUAAGUAUGAUUAGUAUGAGCACAAGAUUAGAAGUAUGAGUAGAAGUUAAUACCAGUUCCCUUUUGCUUCUCAAAAUUCAUCCCUUAUUGAAAAGAAGAAACUUGAACUGAUAAUUGCCACUCCACAAUUCCUUUUAUUCAGCUGAGAGGAGAAACAGUAACAAGUCCUUGAAUGCUUAAACAUAUUUUCCAUCUUUUUGAUAACAAAUGUGUCUCCUACAAAAUACAGACAAAUUAUACUGCAGAUAAGAUCUCAGUUCAGCGCUACACAAAUUAUACUAAAUAGUUAUGUAUUAACUCUAAAUAAGUCAUUCUAUAGGUAACGUUUCAAUCAAUAAAUGGUUUU